GAUGAACCAAAUUCUUGGGAGGCUUUCAUUGUGGGGCUAGACAUAAUGAAAUAAUGGAUCCAUUCCUGUGGUUAUUUGUGGUAUUCAGAAAUACCAAAUUUUGGGGAUUUGGGGAAUGUAGAAACUCCUUCGGAUAUAUAAUGAGGUGGUUACAUACUAUUGAUUUGUGGAUGAUGAGGAAUUUUUGUGUUGAUUGUUUGCGUUUUGUGAACUUGCUGAUAAUCUCUAUUUUGAAUUGUAUACCAGAAAUGAAGGAAAUAAUGAAGUAACUUGUGGAGAAUGCUUCUUGUAUGCAAAAUAGUAAUUUUUAAGGGGGAAGUUUGGGCAUUUUAUGUUGUUUCAAGGCUAAUCUAAAAUGUGUUAAGUUCCUUUAGAAAGUUGGUUUUAAGAUGAAUUCUUAAUACAGGAUGGAGAAAGUAAUUGUAAGUUACACAACUGUCAUUAUAUUUUUUAGUUUUGUAGGGUUGUAACUUUAGUGGCAAGACCUUUUCUGAGAUAAGUAAGAUGGUCUUGACAUCUUGUUGAAUGUCUAGAUUUCUCUCUCUCUCUCUUGCACACAUUCAUUUUUAAAAAACAUUGUCCAUAUGACAAGAGGAGGUACAUGUUAUAUCAGUAAUU
rnacentral:misc_RNA from 1 species